UCCUCCGCUCUUCCAACUCAGGGGGUCUGAUUAGAAACCCUCCCUGUGGUCCAAUGUGUCAUUCCCCGCCCCCCCCCCCCAAAGGAGGAAAUGGAUCUGACUGGACCUUCCUCUGCACACCAGCCCGGAAGGCCUUCAUCUGUUCUGGGUGGCAAACUUGAGCAUGGAGUCUCUUCAAGUGUCCAGUCCACUCUGUGGAAAGAUCCUCAUUUGUUUUGACCACUGGGAAUUCUCUCUUCUUCCGCAAGGUGACACCAUGGCCUGUACUCUGUGUGGACUUGGAAACCAGCUGUGCCACCAUAUUGAUUCUAGUCUGUCAGGUUGGCCUGGAUGACUGCAGCUUCCUUGGUCCAGGGUUGCGUUGGGCAGUUAGCACACAGCAGGCGUGACUUUCCUCCUCCUCACACCCAGCAAAACUGUCACGCUUCACCUCUACUCCUACUGCCUCAACUUAAAACAACCUGGAAUAGAGAACUGUGUCUUGCAUUUACCACCUACCUGGCGUAUGCAUUCCUUGAAAUGAGCCAACAAAUGUUCCAUGGACCACUCAGGAAGAGGAGCAGAUCGAGGAGGUCCCUCUGGUCUACAAAUUCUAUCAACUUGCCCAGGAAGUGUAGACCCGAGGACUGCGUCAGGACGCUGGAAUCAUGACCUGAGCCGAAGGCAGACGCUUAACGACUGAGCCAGCCAGGCGCCCUCCCCGCCUUACCAUACUCCUGCACACUUAUCACUACGAGCUGUGUGCCCCCAGCAACCAGCGUGGUGGUGGCUCCGUGUUGGGGGAUAGUCCUUGAGCCCCUGGAACUACCUAGCAUCCCAGCCUGGAGAGCAGAAGUGCCUGGGACCUACAGAGAUGGAGAGAGGGCAGCAGAGGCAGAAAGAGAAUCACAAGGAGGAGCCAGUCACUGAGCUCAAUCUCAUGAGCCUGAGAUCACGACCUGAGCUGAGAGAGCAAAGAGCCCAACGCUUAAGGGACUGAGCCACCCAGGUGUCCCUACUCCUCAACUUCUGAAGCAGUGGUUCCUGGGGCUUCUUCCUAAAAAAUCACGUUCACAUGAA